GACGAACGCUGGCGGCGUGCUUAACACAUGCAAGUCGAGCGGUAAGGCCCUUUCGGGGGUACACGAGCGGCGAACGGGUGAGUAACACGUGGGUGACCUGCCCUCAGCUCUGGGAUAAGCCUGGGAAACUGGGUCUAAUACCGGAUAUGACCUUGCCUCGCAUGGGGUGGGGUGGAAAGUCCUGGGCUUGAUUGUCUGGGCUCGGCUGGGGAUGGGCCCGCGGCCUAUCAGCUUGUUGGUGGGGGAUGGCCUACCAAGGCGACGACGGGUAGCCGGCCUGAGAGGGCGACCGGCCACACUGGGACUGAGACACGGCCCAGACUCCUACGGGAGGCAGCAGUGGGGAAUAUUGCGCAAUGGGCGGAAGCCUGACGCAGCGACGCCGCGUGGGGAUGACGGCCU
rnacentral:rRNA from 1 species